rnacentral:rRNA from 1 species
UCUACGGGUGGCAGCAGUGAGGAAUAUUGGUCAAUGGACGAGAGUCUGAACCAGCCAAGUAGCGUGAAGGAUGACUGCCCUAUGGGUUGUAAACUUCUUUUAUAUGGGAAUAAAAUGUUCCCCGUGUGGGAUGUUGUAUGUACCAUAUGAAUAAGACUCGGCUAACUCCGUGCCCACAGCCGCGAUAAUACGGGAGAUACGCGCUAUAUCCGGAUUUAAUUGGUUUAAAGUGAUCGUAGGUGGGUUGGUAAGUAAGUUGUGCAAGUUUGCGGCUCAAACGUCAAAUUGCAGUUGAAACUGGCAGUCUUGAGUACAGUAGAGGUGGUCGGAAUGCGUGGUGUAGCGGUGAAAUGCUUAGAUAUCACGAAGAACUCCGAUUGCGAAGGCAGUUCACUGGACUGCAACUGACACUGAGGCUCGAAAGUGUGGGUAUCAAACAGGAUUAGAUACCCUUGUAGUC